GCCUGGGUGGCUCAGUGGGUUGAGCGUCUGACUUCGGCUCAGGUCAUGAUCUCGUGGUUUGUGAGUUCAAGUCUCGUGUCGGGCU
rnacentral:tRNA from 1 species